rnacentral:rRNA from 1 species
UACGAAGGGGGCUAGCGUUGUUCGGAAUUACUGGGCGUAAAGGGCGCGUAGGCGGCUCUGAUCGUCGGAUGUGAAAGGCCUGGGCUCAACCUGGGAAUGGCAUCCGAUACGGCGGGGCUGGAGUGUGGGAGAGUGGUGGUGAAUUCCCAGUGUAGAGGUGAAAUUCGUAGAUAUUGGGAAGAACACCGGUGGCGAAGGCGGCCAACUGGACCACAACUGACGCUGAGGCGCGAAAGCGUGGGUAGCAAACAGG